rnacentral:rRNA from 1 species
GACGAACGCUGGCGGCGUGCCUAAUACAUGCAAGUAGAACGCUGAAGGAGGAGCUUGCUUCUCUGGAUGAGUUGCGAACGGGUGAGUAACGCGUAGGUAACCUGCCUGGUAGCGGGGGAUAACUAUUGGAAACGAUAGCUAAUACCGCAUAAUAGUAGAUGUUGCAUGACAUUUGCUUAAAAGGUGCAAUUGCAUCACUACCAGAUGGACCUGCGUUGUAUUAGCUAGUUGGUGAGGUAACGGCUCACCAAGGCGACGAUACAUAGCCGACCUGAGAGGGUGAUCGGCCACACUGGGACUGAGACACGGCCCAGACUCCUACGGGAGGCAGCCGUAGGGAAUCUUCGGCAAUGGACGGAAGUCUGACCGAGCAACGCCGCGUGAGUGAAGAAGGUUUUCGGAUCGGAAAGCUCUGUUGUAAGAGAAGAACGAGUGUGAGAGUGGAAAGUUCACACUGUGACGGUAUCUGACCAGAAAGGGACGGCUAACUACGUG